rnacentral:rRNA from 1 species
CCUACGGGAGGCCGCAGUGAGGAAUAUUGGUCAAUGGACGAGAGUCUGAACCAGCCAAGUAGCGUGAAGGAUGAAUGCCCUAUGGGUUGUAAACUUCUUUUAUAAAGGAAUAAAACGAGGCACGUGUGCCUUUUUGCAUGUACUUUAUGAAUAAGGCUCGGCUAACUCCGUGCCAGCAGCCGCGGUAAUACGGAGGAUCCGAGCGUUAUCCGGAUUUAUUGGGUUUAAAGGGCGCGUAGAUGGGUUGUUAAGUCAGUUGUGAGAGUUUGCGGCUCAACAGUAAAAUUGAAAUUGAUACUGGCAGUAUUGAGUAUAGUAGAGGUAGGCGGAAUUCGUGGUGUAGCGGUGACAUGCUGAGAUAUAACGAAGAACCC